AUGGAAAGGGGGCUUCGAUCCUGUCUGAUGCUGUUAUUCUUGGGGUUCCCGUAUAAGAGAUCUAUCUACGGUGCUCAGCUCAGCCUACCUUCAAUUCGUACGGCGUCGCCCAUGGAUCCUCAUGUCAGUUUAGGAAUUUCCCCCAUCAAUUUGGUUUCCUGCUUUACGGUCAUGCAAUGCCAAUUUAGGAUCAUGUGA
rnacentral:rRNA from 1 species